rnacentral:rRNA from 1 species
UACACUCCUACGGGAGGCAGCAGUGGGGAAUUUUGGACAAUGGGCGAAAGCCUGAUCCAGCAAUGCCGCGUGUGUGAAGAAGGCCUUCGGGUUGUAAAGCACUUUUGUCCGGAAAGAAAUCCUUGGCUCUAAUACAGUCGGGGGAUGACGGUACCGGAAGAAUAAGCACCGGCUAACUACGUGCCAGCAGCCGCGGUAAUACGUAGGGUGCGAGCGUUAAUCGGAAUUACUGGGCGUAAAGCGUGCGCAGGCGGUUUGCUAAGACCGAUGUGAAAUCCCCGGGCUCAACCUGGGAACUGCAUUGGUGACUGGCAGGCUAGAGUAUGGCAGAGGGGGGUAGAAUUCCACGUGUAGUAGUGAAAUGCGUAGAGAUGUGGAGGAAUACCGAUGGCGAAGGCAGCCCCCUGGGCCAAUACUGACGCUCAUGCACGAAAGCGUGGGGAGCAAACAGGAUUAGAUACCCCGGUAGUCCCAUG